ACUCUCCCUGCAGGUGACUGACGGCGCCGGCCGUCCCUGCCCGUCGCCCGCCCGCUGCUGCCGCCCGCCCGGGGUGUGGAGCCCGGCCGCUGCUCGCGGGCUGAGUGUCUGUCGCUGCUGCCGCCUCCACCCAGCCUCCGCCAUGGACCUCUUCGGGGACCUGCCGGAGCCCGAGCGCUCGCCGCGCCCGGCUGCCGGGAAAGAAGCUCAGAAAGGACCCCUGCUCUUUGAUGACCUCCCUCCGGCCAGCAGUACUGACUCAGAUGUUUUAGGUGUUGGACUGUCUUUAAGUUUUGAAUCCAUGGCAUCAGGUAAGGCAGAAAAAUCUGCUAGUCGCUAGCCCUGAGAAGUACUGCGAGGAAAUGUGGAGCAGUUUUCUCUGGUUCAUUUGAGUAUUUAUUUUACUACCUGAAGUACAAUUUAACUUUUUAAGGCAGAUUUUUAUUUCCUUUGAAAUAAUAGGACUUUAAAAUAGGUUCAAGAUAUUAUUCAUUGCAGUAUGAGUUGCCACUGGAUUGACGCAAAGUUUUGAGUUUAUUUCAGUAACCUACAUAGGU
rnacentral:sRNA from 1 species